UGCAGAGCCUAUCAAAUUCAU
rnacentral:siRNA from 1 species